rnacentral:lncRNA from 1 species
GGAUGUCAUCAAUGGCAAUGUAGCCAUUUCUCCCAUCUGAGACUUCAGCUUCAAAUAUUACCUGAUACUCAUUGGGCCAGAAGGUGCUGACAGCCAACUCUGCUCGAAGCCAGUCUUUGCCAGUGGAGCCGGUGACGUUCCAGAUGGGGUUAGCCAGUGGCCCUUUGUUCACCCUAACCAGGAUGUUCAGAGUUCCUGGGUUUGCUCCACUCUUGCUAUACAGAAGGUAACUGAAAUCAAUACAGUGAGUAUCAUUUUCUUUCAUGGUUGGAAGCUGAAGUCGAGUCUUUUCUCCAGGGUCAUGAUCUGACGAAAUCACUAUCAUAUAUGACCCUUGAGGCAUCUCAGGUGGUAAAUAGUGAGGCUCUUGAGCACUGACAUGUACCCAGUCGAAGUCAUCAUACAAGUCUUGAUGGUAGUCACACGGCCCCGGACCAUCGUCAAAGGAACAUCCCCCUGCGGAGAGCUGAGCGCGGGCCGCUCCCGGCAGAGCGGGCGAGCCUCCGGCCAGCAGCAGGGCGAGCGCCGCCAGCAGCGGCAGCGAGGCCGCGGCGCCGGCCCCCCUGCCCAUGCCGACUUGCCGAGAAGUUUCCCAAAGAGGCCGGGGCUGCCCCGGCCCGCGGCGGCGGGCGGAGCUCGCCUCGCCCAGCCCUCCCGCCCGGGAAAGCCCCGCGCCCAGGGCCGCCCGCCCGCCGGGGCAGCCGUCUGCGGCGCGACGGGCGCAGCACCGCGGCAGCACCGGCUCCUCUCGUCC